CUCGGCCUGGUGGGGCGGGGUGCACCUCCCUCCGGGGCUCGGGCUCGCCUCCCCGUCCCCUGGCCGCCCCUCACCAGUCGCUAGAUAAAACAGCGCCGACGGUCUCCACGGGGUCUGCACUCGGUAGACUUGGCGCUCAUCCUCAAUGACAACAGCAGGAGAACCCGAGGAACGCCAGCAGAGCCGGUUCCCAGUGCCCUGUCCGGAGGCUCCGGCAGUGGCCAACUGAGAUGACCCUCAAACAGCAACUGGAGCCGACCAGGCGCUGGACCGGAGGAGAGAGGGACACUGUGUAAAGUGGGUGGGACCCACCCUGGAACAAGACGGGCGCCGAUUGGCUGCGGUUCACAGAUGCCUCCUGGGGAUUGGCUGAGCGGCGGCCAGGGGGCCGCGGCCGUUUCCUUUACUCCGCGCUUACUCCAAGUCCACCUCGUGCCCCUCCGCCACAGGACUUCCAGCUUCCUCUGAUUGACCCUGACCCUGACCCCAGUCCCGAAGGUGGGAAGGACUUAGGGGAACACAAAGCAAGUCGGGGCCGAAGCGACCCUAGAGGGACCGGCUCCCUCGGGGCCGCGAGCCCCGUGAGGUUAUGGCCCGGACCAAGCCGCCCAGCUCCUCUGACGCAGCCCCCGGGGUCGGCCACCUCCUCUCCCCACCAGCGGAGCCGCAGGAACCAAUCUGCUCUGGACCCUGCAUGUGGAUCAAUGGAUUCAGUCCUAUGGGAACCUGGCCUUUAAUGAGAGGUGCUCUACAAUUCCUCUUUCAAAUUCCAUGUCUUCUGGCAAGCUGGAACAAGAGAAUGGUCUUCUCCUUUUGUUGUUAAUUUUCUUCUUAUAGGCAGAAGCUUCCCUUGUCACCAGUCAGCUCCACACAUUGUACCCAGAACUCUUCACCUCUUCAACUCAUGAAGUCACUUCCAAGUGUGGACCUUCAGAAUGAUGAACAGAAUGACUUGCUCAUCCAAGGAAACACGAAGUGGAAAAGAUAGACAGGGACACAUGCUAAAGCUUAGUUGAAUCCACUUUUCACAUGAAAAUAGCCAAAGGUUGGGAGGGAAGAGCACUCCAUCAUUGCACCCCUCAUGGAGAAUUCAGUGAUAAGAGAGACACAUUUGCCACAUGGAAGAACCAAAGUAAGAACAAGAUAAAACGUGUAUCUUCUUUAUAAUUGAUGCAGCCCCCUACCUCUUCUUCCUGCCCCUACAAUAAGGCUAUAGGGAAGGCUACUCAGUGCUCUCCUCAGUGUUUGCCAGAUCAUACCGAAAGACCAAGUCCUUUAGGUGCUGAUUUACCACAUGGCUAGAAGUAGCCAACAAGCUCAUCCUCUUCCAUGCGCCCUAAUGCUGAGUCACAUACAGUUGGUCAAAAAAGGCAACUUGCACAUGUUCCAUGGGAUGGCCCUUUUUACAGAUAUCUUUUAUUUUUUGUCACAUUUAUGUAACAGUCAUUUCUGAAUAUACUCACUCUACCAUCACUACCACAACCAGCACCAUGACCCCACAAGAACUGAACUUUUCCCUGCUUUUCUUUUUAGUAUGAUCAAUUCUGUUGAUUGUCUUCCUACUGACGAGCCAUCUAUGCAUCCCUGGUACAAAUACAAUUUGGCUGUAUUGAAUGUUGUCUUAGAUGAAUUGCUAUUAUCUUUUUGACAGGAUUUUAUUUAGAAUUUUUCAACCAAUUUGUCAUGAAUAUCAGUUCCCCUUCUGUGCUUGAUCCUUCCCUGGGUUAGGUAGUAGGACUAUAUUGUUCUCAUAAGAGGCAUUUUACAGGAUGCUUUCUUUUUCAAUUUUUGAGAAUAAUUUUUGUGGUAUUUGUAAUGCCAUU
ensembl:lncRNA